UGCCCCAAGGCCCUGAGGACACAGAUCUGAAGGUGCCAGAGGACUGCUAGUGUCAGGGAACCUGCGUCCACUGCCUUCUAGGGCAUGGGCACCCACUGGCAGCAUCACAACAGCAACUCAGGUGGCAAGGUGCUGACCCACCUAUCCAUUAUGGAGUCAGGGUAGAAGGUGGGAGACAGAGGGUGUCUGUCCUAGGGAUGAUUAAGUCAGGAGGUGUCUCAUUCCUUCCUUGAGGAGUUUCAUAGCCACCCACUGAAGCCCUCAGCAAUCUGGGGAUCCAGAAGACGGAAGAGCAUCCCUGCCCCUCGUCCCUGCGUGAGAAGAGGUCUCACUGAGUCGCUAAAUUACCUACAGUAGGCUUGAAUUGAGGUCUCCUGCCUCAGCUUCCUAGAGUGCUGGGAUUACAGUGUGUGUCAGCAUGCCCAGUCCCGUCACUCUUUUUCGCAUCCUGACCAUGAGGUGAGCUGUUUUUUUCCUCGUGUUAUCCUUGCCAGGAGCAACUGACCAUGGACUGAAACCCCUAAAACCAUGAGCCAAAAUAGCCUUCCAUCUUUAUAGGGUGACUGCUUUGGGUAUUUUGUUAUAGUAACAGAAAGCUAGCUAACACAGUUUCCAGUGCCUCUGAGGGACCAGGAAUUCACAGAGGAUUCACAGAGGUCAGAGUUUCAAAGAUGCUGCAUGGAAGCUGCCUGGAGACACAAUAACCAUUUUAUGGAAAGGGUAGUGAGAAGAACAAAGCCCUAAUCUCUCAGAAGGGUCCUCCUUGUUCUAAACUUACAGCCUGAUUUUGCAGAGCCUGGAACCCUCCAGUGCACCAAGAGCUGGGGUGAGACCUUGCCCAUCUUGUCUCUGACUUUUCCUCUUCGCAUUGGCAAAAUAAGCUACCAGGGGCUCUGAGAACAUGUUCUUUCAGAGGUGAAAAUUACACACUUGUAGCAGCCAAAACAGCUAUUUGCAAUAAUAACUAUCCUAGCACAGGUUGGAGGAGCCUAGUAAAUGUUGCCCUUGUUUGAAAUCCUCCCCCGAUCCCCACCCAGCCGCCUUCCUAGUGCCCAGCAGGUUGGAAGGGGAGUGACUAUUUUCUGUUUGUUUGUGUU